rnacentral:rRNA from 1 species
UACGUAGGGUGCGAGCGUUAAUCGGAAUUACUGGGCGUAAAGUGUGCGCAGGCGGCCGCGCAAGUCGAGUGUGAAAGCCCCGGGCUUAACUUGGGAAUUGCGCUCGAAACUACGUGGCUGGAGUGUGGCAGAGGAAGGUGGAAUUCCAGGUGUAGCGGUGAAAUGCGUAGAGAUCUGGAGGAACACCGAUGGCGAAGGCGGCCUUCUGGACAGCAUCUGACGCUGAGACGCGAAAGCGUGGGGAGCAAACAGG